rnacentral:rRNA from 1 species
GUGAGGAAUUUUCCGCAAUGGGCGAAAGCCUGACGGAGCAAUGCCGCGUGAAGGAUGAAGGCCUAUGGGUUGUAAACUUCUUUUCUCAGAAAAGAAUUAUGACGGUAUCUGAGGAAUAAGCAUCGGCUAACUCUGUGCAAGCAGCCGCGGUAAGACAGAGGAUGCAAGCGUUAUCCGGAAUGAUUGGGCGUAAAGCGUCUGUAGGUUGUUUAAAAAGUAUUCUGUCAAAGAUUAGGGCUUAACCCUAGAUAGGCAGAAUAAACUUUUAAGCUAGAGUUUGGUAGAGGCAGAGGGAAUUCCCGGUGGAGCGGUGAAAUGCGUAGAUAUCGGGAGGAACACCAAAGGCGAAGGCACUCUGCUGGGCCAAUACUAACACUGAGAGACGAAAGCGAGGGGAGCAAAUGGGAUUAGAAACCCUGGUAGUCC